GCCCCCGGGGGGGGGAAUCCGGGUCGCCAGGAUGGAGGGGGCCAUUUGGGCAAAUAAGGAAAAUGUUGCACGGAUGGAGGUGCAGCGGGGUCUGAGGUGCAGCAUUCACACUGUGUGCCCGAUUGGGCCGGUGUUUUUCAAACAUGGCCACUUUUAGGUCCACAUAUCUUAAAUUGGCCAAGUUUGAAAAAGACUGGAUUAGGCUAAAAAAGUGGGAAAUGUGUUUCUAGGAGACGCAUGAAUCAGACAUCAUGUUAAGCUUAGCUGGUUUAUUCAUUCAGGUAUUAGUUCUAUAGUCAUUGUAUGGUGGUUUGUUAAUUCAGACUUCCCCCAGGGGUUUGGGCCUGGAGGUUUACUUAUUUUUAUUUAUUUAUCAAAUUUAUAUGGUUGCCCAUCUCACAAAAAGUUACUCUUGGGAGCAUACAACAAUCAAGUAAACCUAUAAAUAUAUAACAACAAUCAUUUUUUAAAAAAUAUAAAACAGUUAUUAUUAAAAUAUACAAACCACCAGGCACAGUAGAGAGUAGAUAUUAACCACAAUGAUGGAGCCAUUAAUAGGAUUAAUAGGGUUCUGCUGGCUGAUGUUUUACUAUAAAUUCAAAUGUUUAUUUACUUAUUAAAUCAAUUUAUAUAGCCACUCAUCUCAAUUGCUGUUUGUGACCUCAGACAUUUAUGGUUUGGAUUGUUUAAAGGGUUGUUCUUAACUUUGUAUGCAGCCAUAGAAAUCAUUUGAAUAAAUAAUUAGGAAAUAGAAAUCCAAAACAUAUUUUAAAGGUAUUCAUCCAAUAUUUUGAGUCCUUGAUAGAAGUUUAUCCAGAAGGGUUCUCCUGAAUUUCCCCCAGAUGCAGAUAAGUCAAUCUACCUAAUAAGAUACUCUCCCUCUUCCCAGACAUUGGUGGGUUCAUAAGACUUUCUUAUUUUGGUUUUUUCUUUGGUGGAGGAUGCUCAGUAGUUACGUUAGUCACCCUGUGUUUCUGGAAGUUUCUUUUCCAUUUCAGAUAUGUAAGCUGGAAAUCUUUCGUGCUUCCUCUGGAGACUAAGGUAUCUUCUAAGUGAAGAGGGCUGAAUGGCCUUGGGAGACUUGUCCAAGACCUCUUCAUGAAGUUCAGGCCUUGUGAAUAGAAAGACCUGUGGAGAUCCACUGGCCCAUUUUGGAUUAGAGAACAAAGAUGGAGGGACAACGCCCAGCAGACGCAGGAGCUGGAAAAGACCCUCCAGCUGCUCAAGAAGAUCAAGGAAGCAACAACUGCAAAGCUUUCCUUAAAAAUCCUGCCCAUUUUCGCCAUUCAAGUGGUCAACAAGGAUUCCCAGCAAUUGUACAAUCUCACUCUUGGCUACAACAUCCAAGACAACUAUAUGAACACCCUUGUGACUUCACAUGCCUUGCUAGACAUGCUGUCUGCUGGAGAAGCCAAUGUUCCCAACUACAGCUAUGGAAGGAAGGACAACCCCUUGGCUCUUCUUGAUGGAGCUGACAAUGACAUCUCCAUCCAGAUGUCCACUGUGGUGGAACCUACAACAUCCUGUAGGUUUGUGUGUGUGUUUCUCUAUCUGACAAAGUGAGUGGCGUGGUGGUAGGUGAGUGAUAGAUCCGGUCAUAACUUGCAUAGAAUUUAAGGACUGCUUUUCACCAUGGCCAUUGUAGGUGUCAGGGCUAUGGAUUGGGGUCCACUCUGGGGAGAAGCAAGGAUCAAAGCAGCCAUAUCCUCUCAUGAUACCAUCCCCAUUACUUUUGGGGCUUCUGCUGCACACUUGUGAAGAUCAAUUAUAAAAUUAUUUCAGAGGCUCUGAAUGAUAAAACUCAAUUUCCUUUUUUCUACUGGAUGGUCCCCAAAGAAGGAAUCCAGCACCCAGCAACUGUCAAACUUCUCUAUGGAGGAAAGCCUUGAUUGGUCUCUUUGCUUCAGACAGAGAAUUUCAUCAGGAAUUCACUCCUGUGCUUGUGAGGAAUGGAAUUUUUGUUGUUGUAUUGCAACGGUUCCCAAGAAAUACAUUUACAAAAUUUGCCCUGAUGUCCUCUCUAAGUGGAGACAAGUCAAUAUCUUUGUUUACUUUAUAGAAAUUGGCAGCCUCAUAGAUGGAGUUGCCCCUGUACAUUGGACACUUGAAAAAUAGCCAGGACCCACUGAAGAGAAAAUCUGUAUCACCACAGCUUUGUGGGUUUUACCUAUGAUAAGUAAGGAAACUUCUAAAUAUGUCCAGAACAUUUGGACCUUUGCUUUCCAGGAAAAAAAGGGCCAAAAGAUUAUGCUUUUCAACCUAUUUUCUUUGUGAGCAGACAGUUUGAAGAUAAGGCUUUUGACUGUUCUUUUUCAAAGCACAUCUUUUCUAUCAAUGGCCAGAGAAGAAAGAGCCACUGGAGACCCGAGAGGAAAGGGACAGGGACUGGUUUGCAAAUGUCCACUGUGUUUAUAGUAUGGUUAAAACUCUGACACAUGCCUGGACACAUGGUUAACUGGACACAUGGUUAUACUGGACAUAGUAUGGUUAAAACUCUGACACAUGCCUUAUCUCAGUUCCACCCCUCAAGACUUUAUCAAGUAGAAAAGUACUUCAUUGCAAUGUGAUAUGCCAGAAGCAAAAGGGAAGAACUAAAUGAAGAAUCUGCAAGUAGUUGUGUCUGUUACAACCGUCUGGGACUAAGAGAUUUCAUAUUUACCUAAGUCAAGCCCAGAGACUACCUUGGCUAAUGUUAAUGUCUACCUCCAUUUUCCAUGGAUGAUUAGUCCUAACACAUUUUCUUUGGCAUUCCUUGUUUUUCUGUUUAGUCUCUGCCUCAGUCCAAAUGUGGGGAAAAUUGUCAUCCUGGAUUUAUUGAGCAGGCUUGGGAAGGAGAGCCAGUUUGCUGCUAUGACUCUGUUCUUUGUCCGGAGGGGAUCAUCUCCACUCAGGAAGGUGGGUGACAUCGGAGGAAAGGGUAUUGGAUUUAUCCAGAGCAUUUUGAUGGAGGUGCAUAUUAAAAGACACAUC